CGGAGCAUGUGGAUUAAUUCGAUGCAACGCGAAGAACCUUACCUGGGCUUGACAUACACCAGAUCGGCGCAGAGAUGCGUUUUCCCUUGUGGUUGGUGUACAGGUGGUGCAUGGUUGUCGUCAGCUCGUGUCGUGAGAUGUUGGGUUAAGUCCCGCAACGAGCGCAACCCUUGUCUUAUGUUGCCAGCACGUGAUGGUGGGGACUCAUGAGAGACUGCCGGGGUUAACUCGGAGGAAGGUGGGGAUGACGUCAAAUCAUCAUGCCCCUUAUGUCCAGGGCUUCACACAUGCUACAAUGGUCGGUACAACGCGUGUGCGACACUGUGAGGUGAAGCUAAUCGCUCUAAAGCCGGUCGUAGUUCGGAUUGGGGUCUGCAACUCGACCCCAUGAAGUCGGAGUCGCUAGUAAUCGCAGAUCAGCAACGCUGCGGUGAAUACGUUCCCGGGCCUU
rnacentral:rRNA from 1 species